GUAUGUGCCUGUGUGCCGGUGUGUAUAUCUGUGCUUGUAUGUGCCUGUGUGUGUGUGUGUAUAUAUCUUACAAACAGAUACACACACAGGCACAUAGUGGCACAUAGAUACACACAUCUUGACACCGUGUGUA